rnacentral:rRNA from 1 species
GACGAACGCUGGCGGCGUGCUUAACACAUGCAAGUCGAACGGAAAGGCCCUGCUUUUGUGGGGUUCUCGAGUGGCGAACGGGUGAGUAACACGUGAGUAACCUGCCCUUGACUUUGGGAUAACUUCAGGAAACUGGGGCUAAUACCGGAUAGGAUCUCCUGCUGCAUUGUGGGGGUUGGAAAGUUUCGGCUGUUGGGGAUGGACUCGCGGCUUAUCAGCUUGUUGGUUGGGUAGGGGCUUACCAAGGCUUUGACGGGUAGCCGGCAUGAGAGGGUGACCGGCCACAAUGGGCCUGAGAGACGGCCCAGACUCCUACGGGAGGCAGCAGUGGGGAAUAUUGCACAAUGGGCGGAAGUCUGAUGAAGAAACGCCGCGUGCGGGAUGACGGCCUUCGGGUUGUAAACAGCUUUCGCCUGUGACGAAGCGUGAGUGACGGUAAUGGGUAAAGAAGCACCGGCUAACUACGUG